ensembl:lncRNA
UUACUGUUCUAGGGGUUAGAGUACUGUUCUAGGGGUUAGAGUACUGUUCUAGGGGUUAGAGGUUAGGGUACUGUUCUAGGGGUUAGAGUACUGUUCUAGGGGUUAGGGUACUGUUCUAGGGGUUAGAGUACUGUUCUAGGGGUUAGAGGUUAGGGUACUGUUCUAGGGGUUAGAGUACUGUUCUAGGGGUUAGGGUACUGUUCUAGGGUUUAGAGUACUGUUCUAUGGGUUAGGGGUUAGAGUACUGUUCUAGGGGUUAGGGUACUGUUCUAGGGUUUAGAGUACUGUUCUAGGGGUUAGGGGUUAGAGUACUGUUCUAGGGGUUAGGGGUUAGGGUACUGGUCUAGGGUGUGUGUGUGUGUAUAUGUGUGUGUGUGUCUCCAAGUGUGUGUGUGUGUGUGUGUGUGUGUGUGUGUGUGUGUGUGUCUCUAAGUGUGUGUGUGUGUGUGUGUGUGAGAGAGCUCUGUGUU